rnacentral:lncRNA from 1 species
GGCCGGAAACAAAAACGCAGAGAGCUACCUGUUGCCUUUGCCAAUAAAUUGGAUUCUCCUUUCCCCCUCUUAAUUUUGGUACAAUUUUAUUGAGACGCAAUUGAAGUACAGUAAAAUGCACGUUUGAACUGUAUGAUUUGAUCAGUCUUGAUAUGUGUAUACACCUCUGUAACCACCACAAUCAAUAUAACAAAUAUUUCAAUCAUUCUCAAAAGUUUCCUUGUUUCCCUUUGUAAUCCAUCUCUCCCUCUACCACUUUCCACAGGCAGCCACUGAUCUGCUUUCUGUCACUAUAGAUUACUCUGUUUUCUAGAAUUCUAUAUAAAUGAAAUUAAUGUGUACUCCUUUUUGACCAAAUUUUCAUUCCGCAUAAUGAUUUUUAGAUUCGUCCGUGUUGUUUCCUGUCUUCCUAGUUCCUUCUUUUUUAUUGCCAAAUUGUAUUCCUUUGUAUAGGUAUAUAACAAUUUAUACCAUUUACUUGUUAACGGAUUUUUGGGUUGAUUCCAGCUUGGGGCUAUUACAAAUAAAGCUGUGAGGAACAUUUGUGCACAGGUCUUUGUGUGGGUAAAUGUCUUUGUUUCUCUUGGACAAAUACUUAGGAGUGGAAUGCCUUAGUUUUGUGGUAGGCAUAUAUUUAACUUUUUUAGAAAUUGCAAAAAUAUAUUUCAAACUGGUUGUACCAUUUUACAUUCCUACCAGCAAAGUAUGAGAGUUUCGGUUGCUCCAUAUCCUCUCUGUCAUUUGGCAAGCUCAGGCUUUAAAAUUUUAGCCAAUCUAAUAUAUAUGUAAUGGUAUCUCAUUGUGGCUUUCAUUUGAAUUUUCCUGAGGACUAAUGAUGUUGAGCACCUUUUCUGUGCUUAUUGGACAGGUGUAUAUGUUCUUUGAGGAAGUAUCUAUUCAAAUAGUUUGUCCAUUUAAAAAAUCGAGUUUUUGGGCUUAUUAUUGAGUUGUAAGAGUUUUUUUUAUAAGUUCCAUAUAAAAGUCCUUUUUAUAUGUUGUGAAUAUUUUCUCCCAGUCUGUGGCUUGCCUUUUCACCUUCUUAAUGAUGCCUUAUGAAGAAGAAAAGAUUUUGAUUUUGAUCAAGUUCGAUUUUCUAUUUUUUGUUUAUGAUUUGUGAUUUUGGUGUCCCAUCUAGGAAACCUUUGCCUACUCCAAGGUUGCAAAGAUUCUCUCCUAUGCUUUCUUCUAGAAGUUUAUGGGUUCGGGUUUAUAUAUAGGUCAAUAAUCUAGUUUGAGUUAAUUUUUGGGUAUGAUGUGAAAUAAGUCUAGAUGUUGAAUGUUUCCAAACAGAUAUUUAGUUUGUCUAGCACUAUUUAUUGAAAUGACUUUCCCUUCUGAAUUGGCACCUUUGUAAAUAAAGUCAAUUGACAUA